rnacentral:rRNA from 1 species
AGCAGCCGCGGUAAUUCCAGCUCCAAUAGCGUAUAUUAAAGUUGUUGCAGUUAAAAAGCUCGUAGUUGAAUUUCGGGAUUGACGUGACGGUCGUGCCUUAAGGGGUAUGAACUGUCGCCGUUGAUUUCUCACCUUCUGGAGAAGCUUGAUGUCCUUAAUUGGAUGUCUUGUGGAACCAGGACCUUUACCUUGAAAAAUUAGAGUGUUUAAAGCAGGCAUUUUGCUCGAAUACAUUAGCAUGGAAUAAUAGAAUAGGACGGCAUGGUUCUAUUUUGUUGGUUUCUAGGAUCACCGUAAUGAUUAAUAGGGAUAGUUGGGGGCAUUAGUAUUCAAUUGUCAGAGGUGAAAUUCUUGGAUUUAUUGAAGACUAACUACUGCGAAAGCAUUUGCCAAGGAUGUUUUCAUUAAUCAAGAACGAAAGUUAGGGGAUCGAAGACGAUCAGAUACCGU